GGAGUAAAGCUUGCUGUGAGAAGUCAGCAGAGGCCAUAGUAACGGAAAGUUUUUUUUUCGGGAAGGGC
rfam:Paenibacillus sp. FSL R5-0912, complete genome.